UAGGGAAUCUUCGGCAAUGGGGGGAACCCUGACCGAGCAACGCCGCGUGAGUGAAGAAGGUUUUCGGAUCGUAAAGCUCUGUUGUUAAGGAAGAACGAGAGUGAGAAUGGAAAGUUCAUGCUGUGACGGUACUUAACCAGAAAGGGACGGCUAACUACGUGCCAGCAGCCGCGGUAAUACGUAGGUCCCGAGCGUUGUCCGGAUGUAUUGGGCGUAAAGCGAGCGCAGGCGGUUAGAAAAGUCUGAAGUGAAAGGCAGUGGCUCAACCAUUGUAGGCUUUGGAAACUGUUUAACUUGAGUGCAGAAGAGGGGGGUGGAAUUCCAUGUGUAGCGGUGAAAUGCGUAGUUAUAUGGAGGAACAGCGGUGGCGAAAGCGGCUCUCUGGUCUGUAACUGACGCUGAGGCUCGAAAGCGUGGGGAGCGAACAGG
rnacentral:rRNA from 1 species